rnacentral:rRNA from 1 species
UACGUAGGUGACAAGCGUUGUCCGGAUUUACUGGGCGUAAAGGGCGUGCAGGCGGUCUGUUAAGUGCAGGGUGAAAGCUCCCGGCUCAACUGGGAGAGGUCCUUGCAUACUGGCGGACUUGAGGGGGGUAGAGGAAAGUGGAAUUCCCGGUGUAGUGGUGAUAUGCGUAGAUAUCGGGAGGAACACCUGUGGCGAAGGCGGCUUUCUGGGCCCUACCUGACGCUGAGACGCGAAAGCGUGGGGAGCGAACCGG